CUAACAAGGAUUCCCUUAGUAACUGCGAGUGAAGAGGGAAAAGCUCAAAUUUAAGAUCUGGCAGCAUUUUGCUGUCCGAGUUGUAACCUAGAGAAGUGUAACCUGUGCUGGACCGUGUAUAAGUUUCCUGGAAUGGAGCAUCACAGAGGGUGAGAAUCCCGUCUUUGACAUGGACUACCAGUGCAUUGUGGUUGCGCUCUCAACGAGUCGAGUUGUUUGGGAAUGCAGCUCUAAAUGGGUGGUAAAUUCCAUCUAAAGCUAAAUAUUGGCGAGAGACCGAUAGCGAACAAGUACCGUGAGGGAAAGAUGAAAAGAACUUUGGAAAGAGAGUUAAACAGUAUGUGAAAUUGUUGAAAGGGAAACGUUUGAAGUCAGUCGCGUUAGCUGGGGAUCAGCCUGACAUUGUUGGGUGCACUUCCUGGUUGACGGGCCAACAUCAGUUUUGACUGCCAGAAAAAGGCCAAGGGAAUGUGGCACCUUUGGGUGUGUUAUAGCCUUUGGUCAUAUAUGGUGGUUGGGACUGAGGAACGCAGUGUGCCGAAAGGCCGGGUUUCGACCACGUUCACACUGAGGAUGUUGGCAUAAUGGCUUUAAGCGACCCGUCUUGAAACACGGACCAAGGAGUCUAACAUGCAUGCGAGUGUUUGGGUGGAAAACCCUUACGCGUAAUGAAAGUGAAAGUUGAGAUCCCUGUCGUGGGGAGCAUCGACGCCCGGACCAGAACUUUUGGGACGGAUCUGCGGUAGAGCACGUAUGUUGGGACCCGAAAGAUGGUGAAUUAUGCCUGGAUAGGGUGAAGCCAGAGGAAACUCUGGUGGAGGCUCGUAGCGAUUCUGACGUGCAAAUCGAUCGUCAAAUUUGGGUAUAGGGGCGAAAGACUAAUCG
rnacentral:rRNA from 1 species